ACCCGCUGAAUUUAAGCAUAUAAUUAAGCGGAGGAAAAGAAACUAACUAGGAUUCCCUCAGUAACGGCGAGUGAAGCGGACUAGCUCAGGAUGUGAAUCUGCGCUUUUAUGGCGCCGAAUUGUGGUCUAUAGACUUUGACAUUAUCUGCCGGGCCAAGUUCCUUGGAAAAGGACAGCUGAGAGGGUGAGACUCCCGUCCGCCUGGCUGAAUGAGUCAUUUGUCAACGAGUCGAGUUGUUUGGGAUUGCAGCUCUAAUUUGGUGGUAAAUUCCAUCUAAAGCUAAAUAUUGGUGGGAGACCGAUAGCGUACAAGUACCGUGAGGAAAGAUGCAAAGAACUUUGAAAAGAGAGUUAAAGAGUACCUGAAACUGCUGAAACGGAAGCGAAGGAAACCAGUGUUUGUUUGUUCAUAUUUCCCUGGCCACUUGUGGUUUGGGCGCUGUGAGCUUGCGUGAGUUUGGGUUGGUUGAUCCCUUUGGAAGAGCGCAGUCAGAGUUGAUGUCUGUUGCUAGCACUGGGUUUGACUGAUGCAGACGAAAUGGUUUUCUUUACCCCGUCUUGAAACACGGACCAAGGAGUCUAACAUAUGUGCGAGUACAGGGGUGUCAAACCCCGGUGCGUAAUGAAAGUGACAGUGGUUGGAAUUUUGCACAAUCCGCCGGCCUCAAUCCCUCGGGAGAACGGUCUGAGUGUGAGCAUACAUGUUGGGACCCGAAAGAUGGUGAACUAUGCCUGAAUAGGGUGAAGCCAGGGGAAACUCUGGUGGAGGCUCGUAGCGAUUCUGACGUGCAAAUCGUUCGU
rnacentral:rRNA from 1 species